UCGUGUGAAAUCCGUCAGGGACCGACAGACGCGUCUCUCUGCUGCUGUUGGUUUGUUUUGCUUUUACAAUUUUUGACCUUUAGGCUCAAAGAGCUGGUCUCCUCUGCAUCAGGGAGAGUAUCCCCGCUGUGCUGGAUGCGUGUGCUUGAGAAGGUUGUGUAACAAUCGUACACGCAGUUGACGGGAGUAAUAGUCUCAUUUUACAUUGUUGUUAAGCCUCUUAAUACUAACAGUAAACGAGAACAGGUGCUGAAAUGAGAGAAGAGCUGAAAGCAAUUAUGGCAGGGGUGACACACCUGUAGUUGUUAUAAUGACUUAACAAUUCAGGGUUAGCAGGAGAGCUCGGUAACCCCAGGAGACUGCCCACCACCCCCCUGGUAGGCAUGCCAUCCCUCAGCUGCCUGGCUGCCCCAUGCCUUCCUGCCGCCCUGAACACGCCCUGUGCCUUCAUGUGACCUCAUUUCCCCUGCCUGCUCAUUUCACCGAAUGACAUGAUUAUGUGACUCCGACUUCUCUGUCUCAGCAGCCUAACGCAGAGACUGAUUUAGUGGCCUCUGCAGAGGAAAACUGCCACACAGAGAACUUACAUCAGUGCAUUGAGGGUCUCAGAUGGUGAAGAGAUGCGCCUGGACAGAACUUUACAGAAAUAAGAAGAGAGGAAGAAGAUUCACGUGGAACUCUCCACAAAGUGAGGUUAAAUCCAAGAGACAAGCCCUCUGAGAUCAAGAAAGCAGAAGGUCGCAGUCUUCUGGCUUUCUCAGGGGACAGUGCGAAACAUGGCCCGGCUAGCCGCCCAGGAGCACAGCGUCCUACCCGUGGUGCAGAUCCACAUCUGGGCUUUCCAGGUGCUGGACCCAGGGUUGGCUCUUUGGUGGAGCUGUAAACAGCAGUCAACUAUUUGAUGACAUGAUGUGAAUUUGUAGAGCUUCAUCUAAUUCUGCAGCCAGGCUGCUCGCUGAGCACCUGAGACACCUCUCCACUCCCUCUGCAAUUGCUCAACACACAGCUUAAUUUCUUGCUAUUGAUUUUCUGCUCUAUAUGCAUCUUGAAUGCUUUGAGAUCUCUUGACCUGCACACAAAAACAUCUGCAUGGCUGUCAGUUUAAAAAGGAAAGCUCUUCAAAAGAAUGCUUGAAAAAUCGGUAAAUAUAACAAAAUAACUAACUCUUCCCCAACUAUUAGCAGGGCAGGUAAACUGGACAUUUCAAUGAGAGUUUGAGGAGAGAGCAAAAUCAUGAAGACUUUCAAAAGGCACUUUGUGUAUGAAAGCUCCUGAAUGUGAAGGCUGCUUUUGGAGGCAUUCCCAGGGAGGUGCAGUGACGGAACAUAUCGUUAGGUCACAGAAACGACCAGAGCCACCUUGGGUAACAGUGAGGUGACCCAGCUCAGGAGGAGAAGCUCUGUAUGGGGGCUGAAGACCCGUCACCCCACCAGGAGUUAGGACCACCCUCUCUGGGUUCCUGUUAUGCAUCUUUAAAAACAAAGCGAUUAGAUUCUAAGAGUCUUCCCAGUUCUAACAUUCAAUGCUUCUAUAGCUAAGACAAUAUACGUUUUUAUUAACAGGAAAACCAAGUUAAAAGAAAACAAUAAAAGUAAAAUAAAACCUUUUUCUACCUGGAAUAACUUGAGAAAUGUAUAAUAAACAUGAUUCUUUCCUCUGUGGACCCACCUUGAUCCUGGUAUAUUCCUCCCCCAC